rnacentral:tRNA from 1 species
GGAGAAUUACCCAAGUCCGGCUGAAGGGGACGCACUCGAAAUGCGUUAGGCGGGUUAAACCGCGCGGGGGUUCGAAUCCCUUAUUCUCCU